rnacentral:rRNA from 1 species
AGAGUUUGAUCAUGGCUCAGGAUGAACGCUAGCGGCAGGCCUAACACAUGCAAGUCGAGGGGGCAGCACGGUGUAGCAAUACACUGGUGGCGACCGGCGCACGGGUGCGUAACGCGUAUGCAACCUACCCAUAACAGGGGGGAUAACACUGAGAAAUUGGUACUAAUACCCCAUAACAUCAGGACCGGCAUCGGUUCUGGUUGAAAACUCCGGUGGUUAUGGAUGGGGCAUGCGUUGUAUUAGCUGG